rnacentral:misc_RNA from 1 species
GCAUAAACGGACUAAUAUUUCUUUGAUUUCAUCUCCAAAAUACAUGUAUCCGCUUGCUGGUAUAGUAACAAGGAAAAAUCCGAAAACAAUCAAAAGAAAAAAGCUCCAAAACAUAAAAGAAAAAAAAAUCAGGAAAUGGCCCAGAGGGCAGACUAAUCUACACAAUAAUAUUUCAUCAGCAAUACAAAUUAUUAAAAUCAACAGAAAAAGUAUCUCAUUUCAAUGACCACCAUAUAUGAUUCAAGAAUCCUCCAGUGACAUAUUAGACUCACUUGGCGCUGGCGAGCUGAGUGCGGAUGGUCUUGGCUGCAGACACCAUGUUUUGUAGGGCUGGCUUCACCUCGGUGUACUUGCGAGUCUUGAGACCACAGUCGGGGUUCACCCACAAGAUGUUGGUGUCAAGGACUGCAAGCAUCUUGUUAACUCUGUCGGCAAUCUCUUCGGUUGAUGGUAUUCUUGGAGAGUGGAUGUCGUACACACCAGGGCCGAUACCAGCUCCGUAUUUAACUCCCUCCCUGAAAACUGAGAGAAGCUUCUCAUCAGAACGUGAGUUCUCAAUGGUGAUCACAUCA